rnacentral:rRNA from 1 species
UACGUAGGGGGCUAGCGUUGUCCGGAAUUAUUGGGCGUAAAGAGCUCGUAGGCGGUUUGUCGCGUCGGCCGUGAAAUCUCCACGCUUAACGUGGAGCGUGCGGUCGAUACGGGCAGACUUGAGUUCGGUAGGGGAGACUGGAAUUCCUGGUGUAGCGGUGAAAUGCGCAGAUAUCAGGAGGAACACCGGUGGCGAAGGCGGGUCUCUGGGCCGAUACUGACGCUGAGGAGCGAAAGCGUGGGGAGCAAACAGG